rnacentral:rRNA from 1 species
GACGUAGGGCGCAAGCGUUGUCCGGAUUUAUUGGGCGUAAAGAGCUCGUAGGCGGCUUGUUGCGUCGACCGUGAAAACCCGCGGCUCAACUGCGGGCUUGCGGUUGAUACGGGCAGGCUGGAGUUCGGUAGGGGAGACUGGAAUUCCUGGUGUAGCGGUGAAAUGCGCAGAUAUCAGGAAGAACACCCGUGGCUAAGGCGGUUCUCUAGUACGGUACUGACGCUGAGACGCGAAAGCGUGGGGAGCGAACAGG